UCCCUGGUGGCUCAGCUGGUAAAGAAUUCGCCUGAAAAGCGGGAGACCUGGGUUUGAUCCCUGCUAGGGAA
rnacentral:tRNA from 1 species